rnacentral:rRNA from 1 species
CCUACGGGGGGCAGCAGUAAGGAAUAUUGGUCAAUGGACGAAAGUCUGAACCAGCCAUGCCGCGUGGAGGAUGAAGGUCCUCUGGAUUGUAAACUUCUUUUAUAUGGGACGAAAAAAGGCCUUUCCAGGUCGUCUGACGGUACCAUAUGAAUAAGCACCGGCUAACUCCGUGCCAGCAGCCGCGGUAAUACGGAGGGUGCAAGCGUCACCCGGAUUAACUGGGGUGUAGGGGGGUUGGUAUGGCUUGGUAGAAAUCCCCGAGCUUAACUUGGGAACUGCCAUUGAUACUAUCAGUCUUGAAUACCGUGGAGGUGAGCGGAAUAUGUCAUGUAGCGGUGAAAUGCGUAGAUAUGACAUAGAACACCAAUUGCGAAGGCAGCUGGCUACACGAGUAUUGACACUGAGGCACGAAAGCGUGGGGAGCAAACAGGAUUAGAUACCCGAGUAGUC